AACAAAUGUUUGCUAAACUAGUUUUCUAUAUAGAUGCAUGUGAUCCAGGAUCAAUGUUUUAUAAUUUGUUGCCCAACAAUAUCAAUGUCUAUGCGGUAACAUCGGGCAAACAUAACGAGUUGACCUAUUUUUGGUGGUAUUCACAAAAAUUUGAUACAUUUAUUACUGCCUGGUUUUUCUCGCUAUUUAUGAACAAUACGGAAACCUAUGAUUUAAACAGGGAGACCAUGGAGGAACAGUAUCUAUAUUUUGCUAACCGAUCCGAAAUUACCGAUCCUAGCUAUAAUCCAGGUACACAUAAUGUUUAUCAGCAUGCAUCACA